rnacentral:rRNA from 1 species
UUUUCCUAUGGGGCGCAGCAGUGGGGAAUAUUGGGCAAUGGGCGCAAGCCUGACCCAGCAACGCCGCGUGAAGGAAGAAGGCUUUCGGGUUGUAAACUUCUUUUAUCAGGGACGAAACAAAUGACGGUACCUGAUGAAUAAGCCACGGCUAACUACGUGCCAGCAGCCGCGGUAAUACGUAGGUGGCAAGCGUUAUCCGGAUUUACUGGGUGUAAAGGGCGUGUAGGCGGGACUGCAAGUCAGAUGUGAAACCCAUGGGCUCAACCCAUGGCCUGCAUUUGAAACUGUAGUUCUUGAGUGAUGGA